CCUACGGGCGGCAGCAGUGGGGAAUAUUGCACAAUGGGGGGAACCCUGAUGCAGCAACGCCGCGAGGGUGAAGAAGUACUCCGGUAUGUAAAGCUCUCUCAGCAGGGAAGAAAAUGACGGUACCUGACCAAGAAGCCACGGCUAACUACGUGCCAGCAGCCGCGGUAAUACGUAGGUGGCAAGCGUUGUCCGGAUUUACUGGGUGUAAAGGGAGUGUAGCCGGGUUGACAAGUCAGAUGUGAAAUCCUGCGGCUCAACCGCAGAACUGCAUUUGAAACUGUUGAGCUUGAGUACUGGAGAGGCAGGCGGAAUUCCUAGUGUAGCGGUGAAAUGCGUAGAUAUUAGGAGGAACACCAGUGGCGAAGGCGGUCUGCUGGAC
rnacentral:rRNA from 1 species